UACGAAGGGAGCUAGCGUUGUUCGGAAUCACUGGGCGUAAAGCGCACGUAGGCGGAUGUGUCAGUCAGGGGUGAAAUCCCGGAGCUCAACUUCGGAACUGCCUUUGAUACAGCACAUCUGGAGUCCGGAAGAGGUGGGUGGAAUUCCUAGUGUAGAGGUGAAAUUCGUAGAUAUUAGGAAGAACACCGGUGGCGAAGGCGGCCCAGUGGUCCGGUACUGACGCUGAGGUGCGAAAGCGUGGGGAGCAAACAGG
rnacentral:rRNA from 1 species